ensembl:ncRNA Y43E12A.6 ncRNA
UGUGUCUGCGUCUCGUUGACCUAUGUGUUCUCUCGGCUUUGGGGAUCGUUCUCUUAUAGUAUUUACCUGAAAGUCAAGGAGGUUGCUGACAAAAAUGAAAAGUUAUCAAAAAAAUUGGAAACUUUUUUUUAGACAAACGAUAAAUGUGUCUAGGGGUUCGAUAGAGUUCUACUGAUAAAAAUGUUUAACAACCCAUU